rnacentral:rRNA from 1 species
UACGAAGGGGGCUAGCGUUGCUCGGAAUCACUGGGCGUAAAGCGCACGUAGGCGGCUUUUUAAGUCAGGGGUGAAAUCCUGGAGCUUAACUCCAGAACUGCCUUUGAUACUGAAGAGCUAGAGUCCGGAAGAGGUGAGUGGAACUGCGAGUGUAGAGGUGAAAUUCGUAGAUAUUCGCAAGAACACCAGUGGCGAAGGCGGCUCACUGGUCCGGUACUGACGCUGAGGUGCGAAGGCGUGGGGAGCAAGCAGG